rnacentral:ribozyme from 1 species
UGAGGACAACACACACGCACACCCACGCACAAGAGUAAAGCAUUAACGAGCAACUCAAUAACCCAGAUGAGAAAUGCGUGGUUUUAAUUUCUCUCAUAUUUAAUUUUAUUUUUCUUCUUUUUUGGUU